AUGCAGCCAGAACAAAAGAAAGCAAGAGUAGAACAAAGAAAAGCUCGCCGUCAAAUGGAAUGCAACACACCAUCAAAAGAUUCACUUCCAAUGGAGAACCCUGAAUAUGUCGCAACCGAACAAGAGGUUAGUACUUCUACGUCUGCUGUAAAACACAGGGAUCAUGUGGCAGCAGGAAAAAGGCAAACAUUGCUACACCAUCGUAACGAACAAUUCAUGAGAAGACAGAGGCAAAUUGUUUCCGUAUCAUCAAAAGUAGAUACAUCCAUGAUGAAAAACACCGAUGAAAACAAAGAACCUCUGGAGCAACAACGAGUCAUGACUUAUGGUAAUAAUCUCAAGUUUAUAUAA
rnacentral:rRNA from 1 species